UAUUAUGGUGAUCACGACCUAUCUAUGAUUACAUACAGCCAUACACGUCCUUGUCACAGUUCCCAUCUAGCCCCUCAUAAAAUUUGUCUCCAUUUCAAAUGCUGCAUCACUCCCACCCUGUAUUUUCAUUAUCCCACAUGCACCACAUUGGCGUGUUCAAAAUUUCUUUUACCAUCAUCACCAUUCAUAUCUCUUAGUGAAAUGCUAGCAAAAAAAACCAAUGUGUCCCAUGAGACCUCCCCACAAAAGGUUCAAGUUCAACUCGUCCCAAAAUCUGUGUCCGAUAGGUUGCUAGAGAAGUUCUAUGAUGAGUCACAGUUCGAUUUUGACUAUGAGCAAAGUGGUUUAUGGUCUCCUCCGGUUCCACGCACAGUGUUCUUGAGCUCCCCGGGAAGAAUAUUCACUGAGCAAGAAAUGCUUGAAAGACUCAGAAGCAAAAAUUCACCAAGACAUCGCAAAAAGUUCAGAGUUUGUUUCGGUGUAUAAUGAUUCAUUCUUCUUAGUUCUUUCCCUGUUCCAUUGGUUCCAACCAUGGUGUUCUGUUGUGCCUGACAGUGAAUGUAAACAAAGUGCGAAGAUUUUGUUGCACUGUUUCUUGUUUAGAAUACAAAGGGAAUCCAAAACUUCCCUAUGAUUGUUUUAUCAUAUUCACAGGAAUUUAUUUACGUGUAUUUUCUUUUCUUUUUCUCUAGCCAAAAGUGAUGUAUAUGUGAAUUUAUAUAUUUUAAGAAAACAUAUAUAGUGUAUCAAUUUGU